rnacentral:rRNA from 1 species
UACAGAGGGUGCGAGCGUUAAUCGGAAUUACUGGGCGUAAAGGGUGCGUAGGUGGUUUAGUAAGUUAGGUGUGAAAUUCCCGGGCUUAACCUGGGGACUGCGCCUAAUACUGCUGAACUGGAGUACUGUAGAGGAAAGUGGAAUUUCCGGUGUAGCGGUGAAAUGCGUAGAUAUCGGAAGGAACAUCAGUGGCGAAGGCGACUUUCUGGACAGAUACUGACACUGAGGCACGAAAGCAUGGGGAGCAAACAGG